rnacentral:lncRNA from 1 species
GUUACAAGAAUGUGAAGACAUCUUUCUUGACAAGUAUCAUGUUAUCCUGCCAGAGCUCCAGUGGCACAAGAGUGCUCAUGUCCUAUGGCUCCACUCUCAGGCUCUACUAGGGUGCAUCUCAGUGAACAGCAAAGCUCCAGCUGCUGCCAGCCUGGCCACACGGUGUGGAGCAGCUCUCUGGAGAAGGCAAGGGGACAGCUGCACCACCAAGAAAUGAGAAGAGCUGAGCAGCAAAUUCUACCCCCUGAGGAAGAGAUCUGGAUUUUGAAUCUUACUGCCAAAUGUCCGGUCAAGACCACUGUUACACAACAGUGA